rnacentral:rRNA from 1 species
AUACGGAGGGUGCAAGCGUUAAUCGGGAUUACUGGGCGUAAAGCGUACGUAGGCGGUUCGUUAAGUUAGAUGUGAAAGCCCCGGGCUUAACCUGGGAACUGCAUUUAAAACUGGCGAACUAGAGUUGAGUAGAGGGGAGUGGAAUUUCAGGUGUAGCGGUGAAAUGCGUAGAGAUCUGAAGGAACACCAGUGGCGAAGGCGACUCCCUGGACUCGAACUGACGCUGAGGUACGAAAGCGUGGGUAGCAAACGGGAUUAGAAACCCUAGUAGUCC